GCCCAUGUGGCUCAGCAGGUUAGAGCGUCGCCUUGGUAAGGCGGAGAUCGGCGGUUCAAAUCCGCUCAUGGGCUCCA
rnacentral:tRNA from 1 species